AGCAGUAGCCACGGUAAUACGAAGGGGGCUAGCGUUGUUCGGAUUUACUGGGCGUAAAGGGUGCGUAGGCGGAUUGUUAAGUCAGGGGUGAAAUCCCGAGGCUCAACCUCGGAACUGCCUUUGAUACUGGCGAUCUUGAGUCCGGGAGAGGUGAGUGGAACUGCGAGUGUAGAGGUGAAAUUCGUAGAUAUUCGCAAGAACACCGAUGGCGAAGGCGGCCCACUGGCCCGGAACUGACGCUGAGGCACGAAAGCGUGGGGGGCAAACAGGAUUAGAUACCCCCGUAGUCCCUGUCUCUUAUAC
rnacentral:rRNA from 1 species